AGUGAAUUGUGUCAAUGAGGCUGGAGCUCCUUAUAACAUCCCUUUAUGUAAAGUUUGGGUCAAUUCUAGAGACAAGAUGGGACUGAAUUUCAGGCAAGAGUCAAGAGCCCCAGGUCUGAGAAGUGGAGGACUGGAAACACUGGAGCCCAGCACAGAAAAAGUUUGCUGACUUCUGCUCUAAGGCAAGAAAAGUCAAAUGACUGUGGCUAUAUGAGACUCCCAUGUGAACCAAGCACAGGGUGACAUAGGAAGUAGCAAGAAAAAUUUGAGCAGUGGUCCACCCUGUUCAGCAAGACAAAUGAUGACACUGAGACAUCCUAGGAAUGAGCUUUCCUAGCACCAUGGGACUCUGGACUCCAUUAUUCAAACAAAAGUCAGAAGCUGUCCCGGACCUCAGGGCUCCGCAGUCAGAUUUGCCAGUCUCCCAGCUGUUCUUCCUUUUCCAUACUUGGCAGUGAAACACGGAAAACUCAUCUCAUCUCAGGCCCAAAGAAGACACUCUCCUCGACCCCGUGACAUUUUCUGGCUUCAGGGCUUGGGCGGAGCUCCCAAAGGGCAGAGCGGGAUUAGCAUCAUUAUUUUCAAAACUGUGGCUGAGGAAACAACGUUUCAGAGAAGUCACAGCGAUUUUCCAGAGACAUACAGCUGGUCAAGCCUAGAUCAGGUUUCGAACCU